rnacentral:tRNA from 2 species
GGUCCAUUAGCUCAGCUGGAUAGAGCGGCUCCCUCCUAAGGAGCAGGUCGCACGUUCGACUCGUGUAUGGGCCA